rnacentral:rRNA from 1 species
UACGUAGGGUGCGAGCGUUGUCCGGAAUUAUUGGGCGUAAAGAGCUUGUAGGCGGUUUGUCGCGUCUGCUGUGAAAACCCGAGGCUCAACCUCGGGCCUGCAGUGGGUACGGGCAGACUAGAGUGCGGUAGGGGAGAUUGGAAUUCCUGGUGUAGCGGUGGAAUGCGCAGAUAUCGCUUGGAACGCCAACGGUGAAAACAGGUUGCUGGGGUUGUGCCGACGCUGAGACACGAAAGCCAGGGGAGCAAACGGG